rnacentral:lncRNA from 1 species
AUGAACUCUUUCAUUUCCUUCAUUGCUUCCCUUCUCCCACAGGGUAAAAAAAAGAAAAGAAAAAAGCACUUUCAUAGCACUCUCAUCAACAGAGCACUUGUAGAACAAGGUCACCUGUGGAUUGUCCUCUACGGAGUUUGUCCUUGUCCAGGCGCCUGCUCUGGCCCGGGCUUUGCUGCUGGCGGCGACCUGCAGGUGAGGGUCGCGGGCUCGGUCAGGGCUGCGAGAAGCUGCGGCUGCGGGGAGGGCCGGCCCGCCGCUUCUGUGCGCUUCGUUUAUAUUUGGGCAGCAGAGGGUAAAAUUAGUGGAAUGUAGUGUUUAUUAUAAUUUGAAUCCAGUGCAAUUCAGUGUGAGAACUCUGCCAGCCCGGACUCGAGCGGGGCCGCGCGCUGCCCACCCGGCCGCCCGCGGGCCUGAGCGGCACGGCCGAUGCCGGGAUGGCAGGACGCACAGAAACGCGGGGUUCUGAUUUUUGAAGACUAGGAGUAGCUAAGCUUUAGUUUGGCUGAAUUGUUCUCAGACUCUGGAUACGAUGAGAGAUCAAAGCGACUCCGGUGCGCGCCAGCCCGGCGCGGCCCCUGCGGCCCGAGAACUGCACUUGGCCCCUUCUGGCAUCGAUGUUCUUUUAGUUAGUGUUUUCUCACUUCCGAGAAAACAGCAUCUUAACCCUGAAGCUGGGUUGUGUGGUAGCUGGUUGAAUGGUAGAAUGAGGAACAUUUCACUCACACUGGAAGUAUAAGGAAUCGAAAUUGUUACUCAGAGUUAUAUUCCCCUCUUCUUUCAGAACAGAUUGUUGGGAAGAAAAACUUCCAAGUAUGAAACAAAUAUUUGAGGCUUAUCUCAAACAACUUUCAUGUGUUCGAAAACUAAAUUUCUACAAAGUCUGCGAGGCAGUGAGACCUAUUAGAACUCCGUCCCAGAGACACACGGAGAAGGCUGGCCUGCAGCCCUGCCUCCCUCACUGGUCCCAGCCUCUGGGGGGCCGCUAUUAUUAGUGUCUUAUUUAUCCUUCCAGUGCCUUUUCAUGCAAACUCUAAAACAAUUAUUUAUUUGAUCCUUCUGGAAUUUGUAUAGGGUAUUGCAUUUUGAGAGGAUUGUUUUUUCCAUUAAACUUUCUAAUUGUUUAUGGUUGAUAUCAAAACAAACUGUUGAUUUCUGAAUAUUUGUUUUGAAUAUAUUCAUCUUGUAGAUUUCUAAUAAUUUUUCAGUUAGUUGUCCUGGGUUUUCAGAUAGAUAAUCAAGCUUACAAUUUACCCUGAUAAUUUUGUUCUCUGCUUCCAAAUAGUAUAUUGUUAUUCUAGUUCUUAUUUUAUUACAUCUAAAUAAAUCACCAUUUUUCUUUGUGAUGGAUUUAUAAAAAACAAAACUCUGUCCCAGUCAUCUCUGGACAAAUGCGUGUGUGGGUUUAGGGCCCUGGAGUAUGUGUGGCAUGCAUCCACACGUUCCAUGCUCACCUGAGAUCGUCAGCAGCUCUGCCCUACACUGUGUUGGGUCGGGAUUGCCAACCUAGAACCGUCAACUCGGUUUAAAAGGACUGCAUUUUGCAUGACAUUCAAAAGGGAAGGAGGGAAGAAAAUCUUUCAUUUAGGAAAUACAGAAGUUGUUUGUCCAGAUAUGCCCAGUUUCCUUCUAUUUCUCCCGAAUGCAGUGACAAUCUGCGUGGCCUUCUAGUGGUCAUGCCGGUCACCAGCACAAGGCACCUGGUCUUUUUCUCCAAGUUGCUGAAUCUGCUUGAAACUUUAAUAGCACUGUUUUUAUUAGCUCAACUGCUGAAAGUUUUUCUCUUAGAGAAUGGUUAUAUUUUAUUGAGAAUAAUUGUGCUGCCAGGUGAUGGAAAAUAAGCAUUAAACACUGAUACUAACAUCCUCUGGACUCGUCUCAUUUUCCUGGUUCAUGAUGCGUUGCAGCCAGACCGAUGGAAUCAAGCCGUGACAGCGGGUCACCUGCCAGGCUGGUCCGUCUGCUCUGUUCAUUGUCGCUGGUGAAAGACGCCGAGGCGGUUGCGUGUGUGUGAACUGUGAUCUUCUCAAGCUUAAGAUAGGAGUUAGAAACGCCUCUUUUGCAGACAGUAAACUCAGUACGUAUACAUUCAAAGCAAGUAUCUACCCGCCCAUAACCUAGUCAGAUGCUCCAAAGAUAAUCAUCAAGUUCUUUCUGGUUUGACUUUUCUUAUUUAUAGGAAUUAAUCUUAGGGUCCUAGAAAACAACAGUGAAAACCCUUCUAAUUGUCACUCCUCUUCUGCAGCAUCUGAAGGAAUGUCAGAGGCGCCCUGCGUGCAUCACUGGCCGAUGGCUUCGCUUGGUGUCGCUGAACACCUGCUCCGUGGUGACUGAAAUCGAAAACCACUUCACCAUACACGCACGCGGGCCUUUCAAAGAACAAAGUGACACUGGCAGGGUGGCUUACCGACUUGGGAAGCUGAGAUGGGAGCAUCCCUUGAGCUCAGGAGUUUGAGACCAGCCUGGGCAAUAGAGAGACACUGUCUUUACAAAAAAUAAAAAAUUAGCUGGGCGCCAUGGCACAUGCCUGCAGUCCCAGCUACUUGGGAGGCAGGGGGCUGAGACAGGAGGAUCACUUAAGUCCAGGAGUUUGAGGUUACAGUGAGCUAUGACAUGCUGCUGCACUCUAGCCUGGACGACUGAUUGAGACCCUGUCUCACCCCCCCCCAAAACAGAAAACAAAAUAACUAGAAGCGUGGUAGCAGUGUAGUUCUAUUUACACACUUAAGAAACAAUUAUUUUUGGAUCUGGAGGCAGUGGCAAAAAUGUUAAAGCUGGUUUUGGUCUUAAGGUUAAUGGAUCAUCUAAAACUUCUCUCCUCAAUUGAAAAAGAACUUCCUUUGGUAUCAGCUUCUCCAUCCAUGACCUGUAGACACUUGAGGGCCGCUUCCACCACGCCUGUGAGCGGCGUCAAGAGCAAAGCCACCGUGGACAGAAGCAGAUCUCGGGACCAGACGGCAAGAGGUGCCAUGGCGAGGCGCAGGACGGGCCCUGCGGGGGAGCUGGCUUCCUUGGCAGACCGGCUCUCGCCUCGCCGCUCGUGCUACGGAGUGCUGCGUGCGGGUGAACUUCAUCCCUAACUUCAUCCUGGUGAACUUGGGAAGGCAGGAAGAGGACGUCUGCUGCUCCUCACCGGGAGGGAGCUGUUCCCUCCUUUCUUCUUUUUCACCUGGAUCAUGUAUAUUUGUUCUCUGACUUUCAACACAAUGAGCUUUUCAUGGGUUUUGCAACCACAGGGCAGCCUAGGACAUUGUGAAGGGCUCCAGGGAGGUCUGAUCUGUACUGAUGUGACUGAUGAGGAAACUGCAGCUCAGAGGGACAAACGACUUGCCCACCGUAGUGGCUCCUUGACAGUGGAGCGGGUGCUGAAACCCAGAUCUCCUGACUCGACUGCUGCAGCUGCGACUGGCUCAGCUCCCUGAUUCCAGCUUCCCUUGCAUGACACAGUUUCUUCUCAGAUUCUGGGUUGCAGCUGAGUCUGGGCAGUUCUUAAGAUGGAGCUGCAUAAACAAUCAAGCUGUGAUAAUGAGAGCGAGGAGGGCACAUGGAGGGUCCCUUCCCUCUGGAACAGAAACGAGCUAACUUUUCUCUGAGCUUACGCUUUGUAAGGCACUGAUAUCCGUUUAAACGAGAUAAACGGAUUUUAAGCGCUUUGCACAGUAUCUGGUUUAUAGCAAGUAGCCAGUAAGGGUAACCACAUAGCAAAAUUUGAUAUUGCUGCAGCGACAAGCCUAUAAUAAAAUUUCUUACAUUUUUUAUAUGUUGGGUUUCAGUUGGUUCUUAUAAGAAUCCUGUGAGUUAGUUGGGGUAGGUCUUAUUAUUUUAUUAUACAAGAGGGAUAACUAAAUUUCAGAAAGCUCAGUGCCUGCCAAAAAGCACAAGAUAAGUGGCAAAGUCAAGACAAACCCCAAGUCUUCCGAGCUCCUGCAAUUCCUCCAUUCAAAAAUAAUUUUGGAUACAUGCGGCGUGUCCUGUGCGGGAAGUUAUGGCGGCUCCGGCCGCAUACAUUGUCAUUCCCUGUGAUCAGGCAGUUUAUAGUCGAGUGAGGGACAGAGAUAUUCAUCGAAUUAUCCUACUUAUAAAUGUAUAAUUCAAAACCGAUUUGAGCAUUCCGAAAGCAAGGAAUAUAGGUUUAUAAAGGUCAGUUUACAAAGGGACCUGGUGUAGAUCUGCGAGAAUGCCGCUGGAGCCGAGAUCAAAGGCGCGAGCGAGGCGCCGGCGCGAGGAGACGCCCGGGAGAGGCCGGGCUGCGGGACGCAGGGAGGGCGGCGGGCAGGACAGAAGGAAGCAGACAGAGCGGUGGGGGGCGUGGGCUGACGAUCUUGGCGGCAGCUGCUAGUACCACAUGACCCAGGUGGGCUGGGCCCAUCUGGGCCGCCUGGUGCCAGAGCCUUAGCCCGAGUUUACCAGGGAGUCUGAGUUGCCCAUCCAUUCCAGGCCGGUGGCCGGGCACGCGGGGCCCUUUCCUUUUUCCCUGCCUUGCUUGCUGCCAAGGGUCUUCCCAGCGGUUUGCUUGUGGUUCAUCCGAACCCUGGUUCAUCCGAACCCUGGUUCAUCCGAACCCUGGUUCAUCCGAACCGUGCACACACAGGCCUCCAGGGCGGGGAGGGUCUCGGCAGGUUCUCUGUCUCGGCGCUCAGGCCUGGGUCUCUGGCGCGUCACCCAAGGGCGGGCGAGCCCACAGCCCAGCCCGCCGCCUCCCCAGCUUUGCUCAGGGGCCUCUCUGGGCUCCUCCUGCCCUUAGAUUCAGCCUGUAGCUGCUGUCUAGUCAGGCUAUUGGUGCUUUUAAAGAGUUUCUUGGUAUUUUAUCUCAGUUUCGUUUAUUUUCAGUGAGCAGCGUGGGCUGAAAGUCUGGCGUGCCGUUGCAGACAUCCAAAGUCCACCAAACUGCUUUGCUCGCGCUUCUCCGGCAGCCUGUGGGACUCUUCUCAUGUAACGUGGGAGGGGGGAAGUGGACGGAAAUUAUGUGUAUUCUACCCCCAGGAGUUAAGUAAUGGAGGAACGGUAUUACUGUGAUAAAAUAUACAUAACAUAGAACUUGCCAUUUUAUUUUUCAGUGUACACCUCAGGGCACUAAGGACACUCACAAUGCUGUGCGACCGUCAUCACCGUCCAUUUCCAGAACUUUUCAUCAUGCCAAACAGAAACUUGGUGCCCAUCAAACAAUAACCCUCUUCCCAGCGCCGCGACCUCUAACCCGCGGCCGUCUGCGCACGCGCGCCUGCUGGGCGCCUC